CCUACGGGUGGCAGCAGUGGGGAAUAUUGGACAAUGGGGGCAACCCUGAUCCAGCCAUGCCGCGUGUGUGAAGAAGGCCCUCGGGUUGUAAAGCACUUUCAGCGAGGAAGAACGCCUGGUGGUUAAUACCCAUCAGGAAAGACAUCACUCACAGAAGAAGCACCGGCUAACUCCGUGCCAGCAGCCGCGGUAAUACGGAGGGUGCGAGCGUUAAUCGGAAUUACUGGGCGUAAAGCGCGCGUAGGUGGCUUGAUAAGCCGGUUGUGAAAGCCCCGGGCUCAACCUGGGAACGGCAUCCGGAACUGUCAAGCUAGAGUGCAGGAGAGGAAGGUAGAAUUCCCGGUGUAGCGGUGAAAUGCGUAGAGAUCGGGAGGAAUACCAGUGGCGAAGGCGGCCUUCUGGACUGACACUGACACUGAGGUGCGAAAGCGUGGGUAGCAAACAGGAUUAGAUACCCGGGUAGUC
rnacentral:rRNA from 1 species